AGGGUUCGAUUCUGGCUCAGGAUUAACGCUGGCGGCAUGCCUAAUACAUGCAAGUCGAAUGGAAGAGCUUGCUUUCCAUGGCGAACGGGUGAGUAACACGUAGGUAACCUACCUUAAGGACGAGGAUAAACCUUUGGAAACGAAGGAUAAUACUGGAUAGGACAUCAUAAAACACAUGUUUAGAUGUUUAAAGGAGCAAUCCACCAUAAGAGGGGCCUGCGGCGCAUUAGCUAGUUGGUGAGAUAAAGGCCCACCAAGGCGAUGAUGCGUAGCCGGACUGAGAGGUUGAACGGCCACAAUGGGACUGAGAACGGCCCAUACUCCUACGGGAGGCAGCAGUAGGGAAUUUUCGGCAAUGGACAAAAGUCUGACCGAGCAAUGCCCGCGUGAUCGAAGAAGUAUUUCGGUAUGUAAAGAUCUUUUAUCAGGGAAGAAAAGACAGAUUGACUGAACCUGAUGAAUAAGCUCCGGCUAACUACGUGCCAGCCGCCGC
rnacentral:rRNA from 1 species